AUGAACAGGCAAGAUGGCAGUCUCCGAUCCCUCAGCAAAGAAGCUGAUUAUCAAGAAAGGCAGGUAUCUGCUGCAGCAUGCUCACAGCUAGCAGGUAAAAGCAUCUCCGGAAGAAUAAGGAGCUCCUUAUGUGUCUGUGUCGAACACAGAGAGAAAACCAAGUUAAACCAAACCCCAAACCAACUAAUAUUUGUAAAUCUUACUGUACUGUUCAGAAUCCAUUUUCUUUACACGUGCUGGCCACCCUUACCAUUUACUGAAGGUUUCAUUAUCACCAAGCCAUACACUUCAGAACCACUGGAACUGAAUUCCCAUUACUGUUCUGCAGCUCAUCCAUUUUGCUCCUCCGUUUUCCAGUGAUACCUGCUCAUUUUAUCUUUCUCCAUUUGUGAUAUAAGCUGGUAGCUGCUACUCCAGGCUCCAUGUCACUGUUUCUCCAGCCUUUAGGCAUCUGUUUUAUUCUUUCUGUGAUAGCCACAGGUAGAUAUCUUUCAUCAUUCAAUUAUUUUUCUUUUAGUUUUUGUUACUCCUUUUUUGAUACCUGAAGUUUCUCCCAUUUUGUGCCGUGCUACUUCCAAGUGCAGCCUCCUGAACUGCUGGGUUAAUAUUUGACUGUGGUUGGGCAGAGGCAGUGGGGUUCUGCCACUCUGCUUGGCCAGCCCUCUUCUUGCUACACUGCAGUCAGUGUAACUGUGGUGGUGAGUAUUUAAGCUUAAGAUUGGUUAAAUGCUUCACUGGGAUGGGACAACUAUGGGCUUGUUAUUGCAAGGAUCUGAAAGGCAUUCUCUCUACCUAUUCCUUGUGUUUACUUUCCAGGCUUUUUGUGUGGGUUUGUUCUGUUUUUCUCUUAAGUGCUUCUGGUGUCUGCAAAUUCCUAAGCAGUGAAGACCAGUAAGAUGCAAACUCCUUCAAAUCGGUGCAGCCUGUUGGGUAACUUAAAAAAAAAAAAAAAAGUCUUAUCAUGAUAGUGGUUUUCACUGUGGUCAUGGCCCUGGGGUUAUUUUAUGCCCUGAUGUGACCAUUGUCAUUACAGCUUGUGGCUGAAAACUUGGCAAUAUGGAUAUCCAGAUAACCAUGUUCUUCCUUCAUCAUUUGCACUGUACUCUUGUGCUUCAGGUCACUGCCUUGGGCUGAAGCUUGGUUCACCACAGUGUCACAACACUGUGACAUUCUUACAAAUCAGUACUUGAUUUUUUUUAUCCAAGCCAAUCUGUGCUAGGU
rnacentral:lncRNA from 1 species